rnacentral:rRNA from 1 species
UGGCUCAGGAUGAACGCUAGCUACAGGCUUAACACAUGCAAGUCGAGGGGCAUCAGGAAGAAAGCUUGCUUUCUUUGCUGGCGACCGGCGCACGGGUGAGUAACACGUAUCCAACCUGCCCUUUACUCGGGGAUAGCCUUUCGAAAGAAAGAUUAAUACCCGAUAGCAUAAUGAUUCCGCAUGGUUUCAUUAUUAAAGGAUUCCGGUAAAGGAUGGGGAUGCGUUCCAUUAGGUUGUUGGUGAGGUAACGGCCCACCAAGCCUUCGAUGGAUAGGGGUUCUGAGAGGAAGGUCCCCCACAUUGGAACUGAGACACGGUCCAAACUCCUACGGGAGGCAGCAGUGAGGAAUAUUGGUCAAUGGGCGCUAGCCUGAACCAGCCAAGUAGCGUGAAGGAUGAAGGCUCUAUGGGUCGUAAACUUCUUUUAUAUAAGAAUAAAGUGCAGUAUGUAUACUGUUUUGUAUGUAUUAUAUGAAUAAGGAUCGGCUAACUCCGUGCCAGCAGCCGCGGUAAUACGGAGGAUCCGAGCGUUAUCCGGAUUUAUUGGGUUUAAAGGGAGCGUAGGUGGACUGGUAAGUCAGUUGUGAAAGUUUGCGGCUCAACCGUAAAAUUGCAGUUGAUACUGUCAGUCUUGAGUACAGUAGAGGUGGGCGGAAUUCGUGGUGUAGCGGUGAAAUGCUUAGAUAUCACGAAGAACUCCGAUUGCGAAGGCAGCUCACUGGACUGCAACUGACACUGAUGCUCGAAAGUGUGGGUAUCAAACAGGAUUAGAUACCCUGGUAGUCCACACAGUAAACGAUGAAUACUCGCUGUUUGCGAUAUACAGUAAGCGGCCAAGCGAAAGCAUUAAGUAUUCCACCUGGGGAGUACGCCGGCAACGGUGAAACUCAAAGGAAUUGACGGGGGCCCGCACAAGCGGAGGAACAUGUGGUUUAAUUCGAUGAUACGCGAGGAACCUUACCCGGGCUUAAAUUGCAGUGGAAUGAUGUGGAAGCAUGUCAGUGAGCAAUCACCGCUGUGAAGGUGCUGCAUGGUUGUCGUCAGCUCGUGCCGUGAGGUGUCGGCUUAAGUGCCAUAACGAGCGCAACCCUUAUCUUUAGUUACUAACAGGUUAUGCUGAGGACUCUAGAGAGACUGCCGUCGUAAGAUGUGAGGAAGGUGGGGAUGACGUCAAAUCAGCACGGCCCUUACGUCCGGGGCUACACACGUGUUACAAUGGGGGGUACAGAAGGCAGCUAGCGGGUGACCGUAUGCUAAUCCCAAAAUCCUCUCUCAGUUCGGAUCGAAGUCUGCAACCCGACUUCGUGAAGCUGGAUUCGCUAGUAAUCGCGCAUCAGCCACGGCGCGGUGAAUACGUUCCCGGGCCUUGUACACACCGCCCGUCAAGCCAUGGGAGCCGGGGGUACCUGAAGUACGUAACCGCAAGGAUCGUCCUAGGGUAAAA